rnacentral:rRNA from 1 species
CCCUUAGAUGUUCUGGGCCGCACGCGCGCUACACUGAUGCAUUCAACGAGUUUCUUCCUGGUCCGAGAGGAAUGGGUAACCUUUUGAAAGUGCAUCGUGAUAGGGAUAGACUAUUGCAAUUAUUGGCCUUCAACGAGGAAUUCCUAGUAGACGUAGUUCAUCAGACUGCAUCGAUUACGUCCCUGCCCUUUGUACACACCGCCCGUCGCUCCUACCGAUUGAAUGAUCCGAUGAAUAUCAUGGAUUGAGGAUGCAAGUAGGUUCGCCUAUCUUCAUCUUCGAGAAGUGAAGUAAAUCUUAUCAUUUAGAGGAAGGAGAAGUCGUAACA